rnacentral:rRNA from 1 species
GAUCUUUAUAUAUUAAAUAAUUAGUAAACGUUAGAUUAAUUUUUUUUUUUAAUUAUUGAUAUAUUAUAUUGGGGUAAUAAUAAAAUUUUAAAAAUUUUUAUUUUUUAUUAUCAACUAUGAUUGAUUUUUUGAUCCAAUAUUAUUGAUUAUAAAUUUAAGUUACCUUAGGGAUAACAGCGUAAUGAUUUUUGAGAGUUCUUAUUGA